rnacentral:sRNA from 1 species
CUGGGCUACAAGAGAAGGCGGUGUCUCCAAAAACGAAAAACUGAGCUCACGAGCCGAGGAAACCCACGCUUAAGACAGCUUCAUCGAGAGAAGACUCACCACCCAGAUCAGGGCAUAAACAUGUAAUCGCUAAUGCCAGGUAGAAUUAGACAAAGUGGCUUACAACAGCAUCGACUAGCUGCCAGUUAUUAUGCUCCAUUGCGCAUGAGGGGGAAAAAAACAAGUUGAAGAACGUUAUAGAUAAUAUGUUCUGAAAUGCACAAAGUUUAAUCCGACUGCCCUUAAACCUGCUUGAAUACACGUUUCCAAAAAAGCACCUAGAAAUGCACAAGAGAAGCUGUUAGCUUUUGUUUCUAUUGGUUACACUUUAGUCCUUUCUUCUCUAUUGUAUAAAGUAAGAGAAGAAUAUGUCUUUCCUUUAGGACUUACUUUUGCUUUUCUUACUUCCAGUGGUUCAUGCUGAUGGUCCCGGAUACUCAGGAGGAAGUAGGAGAAAUUUCCAGAGCCCAGGAGUUCACAGAGCAGCCUGAGCAAUCCAUCCACACAGGCUGAGACCCUGAAAACACCUCCCUCCUCUAGCGUGACUGGAUGUCAGGAUUUGGGGCUAAGGCAGCAUUAACUACCCCCAAAACUUCAAUUUUAAAGUAAUUAAGUAGAAAGCUUAGGUUCAAGUCCAACUCGGUUUCCAUGAGUCCACUCAAGCUACCCUGCCCACGUAUGUUAAUCUACAGAAUGAGACUUAAAGUAAAUGCACGAACUACAGUAUCCUCUGAGGGACAAACGGAGGCUGAGUGUGACAUCAUUCUGCGUGGAGUUCUGACUACUUGGUGCUGUUACAGAUGACGACGUAGGGCACUCACACAAAAAAAGAAUCUCUUCCUUCCCAAACCUGCUAUAAAUGCAAAGAAAAUUAGCUAAAGUAAAAAACACGUGACCAAAACGGCUCCUCUAUAGAUGCCCCCAAGUCACUGCCAUGAGUGGCCUUCAGAGCAUCCACACCUCCCUGAUCAACAUCAAUAAGGUCCAAGACAGCUCAGAACCACUUAAAGGUUUAGGAAGCACUGCUCUGGAAGGUUCCCUGAGACCUCGGGAUGCAGUUGUGAAGAGGAAGCCCUGACUUUGAAACCAACUCAGCUCAGACGUGGGCGUGCUUAGUGCAGCCUGUCCCACGGUGUCCGCAUGGUCUGUCAAUAAUCAACGGCGAACCGGUGUUGCUAUUGCUACAUGAGGAAACUCCUCAGUUUGGUGGCUUCACCAGUUUCACCUAACUAAUAACUUAGCAGAAAAAUCACAGGUCAGCGGCCCAGUUUUAUUUGUAAAAGGAAAGAAUCGCCUGUAAGCAUCACCUGUCAAUAAAAAAACCCUAGGGCCAAUGAGCUGAGGCAGGAAAUAGGAGGUGGGAGGGACAAUGGCAGGAAGAGCGGAUUCUGGGAAAUCGUGAGAGACUGAAAGGGAGAUUUACCCAAGGAGACAUAAACUAGCAAGUAGCUGUACUGAGGAUGGAAUAAAAGUUUCCCCAGGCCUUCACCUGUGCUUCCUGGGGUCAUCUUUCAAGGAAAUCCUCUGUGCCCAAAACCUUGGUAUAGUGUCUACUUUGAGGAGAAAUCUAGUGACCAUACCUCCAUUUGGCUUAAAACUCUAAAGAGAAAAAACACUGAUCAGACUCCCAGACCCUGACACAUCCUAUCUAAGGUAAGAUCAAAGGCAAUGUCUUUUCAGCAAAUCACUCUGACGGCUUGGAAGUCACAGACUGCUUCUGGACCUUCCUUCCCCUCCACGCCGUCUCAGAGAUUUCACCGUGACUUGUUACACUGUUCUGGUCCACCCUGCCCAUAUAUCUGCCCUCAGCCUGAAUUCUGAGGCUGAUCAAUAUUGAAUUUUAAUGCAAUAACGUUCAAAAGAGUCUUGCUGGAAGAUAAUGGCUACUGUUGUCCAAAGACUCUGCCCUGUUGUGAGGCAAGCAUUGAUCUAUUGACAGACCGAAGAGAUUACGAGACUGGCAAGAACUGCCCCGAGGCGCGGGUCAUUACUAUUUCCCCUCCCGUAACACUGUCUCAGCUUUCCUGGAAUAUUAAGCACAGGCAAUCAUAGGCUUCUGCUGUGGUUUUUUUGUUUUUGGGUUUUUUUUUUUCUUAUUUCUUCAUUAAGAUCCACACACGGGCACACCACUUUCAGCUGUCAGAAAUGUAAAAGUGUUGCAGUGCUCCUCCACCAGAAUGUAUUUGGGGCAGGAGGACAAAGGUCACCACUUGCCAGCUGAAAAGUCACUGCUCCCUUUGAACAGGACAGUAGCCACCUUUCUGAACUAAAUGCCCCUUGCCCUUUGCCAACUUUUGCUUCUUUCUUUUCUUUCUCUCUCUCUCCCUCUCUUUUUUUUUUUAACUUCCUUCUCUGGGCAUGGCGCCAAGCACGUAAGGAGGUGACCCACUUUAUCAAUCUAUGAUAAUCUUUUUAAAGCCUCUGCCAUUCCAAACCAAUUUAUUUUUAUAUGGCAUCUUCCAUUAAAAAAUUAUCUCUAAAUACUUUGUCGAAAAAGCAAAAUUAUGAUAAAAAACGGUUUAAGCAUUUAAAAAUGCCUUGGUUGUGAAGAUCAAGAGUUAAGCACGUUUUAACAGUCUCCUGGAAGUUCAAAGCUCUCAACAUUAAGAGUUUUCAUUCUUCUCCGCAGGUCCCGGUUUAGAGACACCAGCAGCGUCGGGGGCGGGACCCGCACUUAGGGUCGGACUGUUCGGAGCAUUAGAGACACUUAAACACCAGAGGGGGGACACAGUAUCACAGCAGACCCCAAAGCCAUUUUGGUCAAGCCUGUUCUGCUGACGGAGUUAACUUUCCCCUGAUCCUCGACAUACUACCUGACCCUACAAAUUUCUUCUCCCGUGACCCUGCUGUGGUCUCUAGGGCACAUUCUCUGUUCCGCCCGCCAAUGCAGCCAUUUCUCUCUCCUUACGUUUUCUAGAAUCUUCUAUCUGUCCUUUGGCUGUGCCAAAAACUUC